ACAAAUGUACAAAAGCAAAAAUAUAUGUCAUUAAAAUGUUAUUGACACAGCAUAAUUUCAGAAUGUAUCCACCCAGCAUUCACAGAAAUAGGCAUAAACUUCCAAAAGUACUAGGUCUUUUCCUGAAAGUAAAAGGACCUUCCCUAUGUUAUGGUUUCAUAUAAGAAAGAUGUUUACAGUUAGCAACAAUCAUUAACACGUACUAGAAAGCAUCAUUUGAUGUUCAAAGUUUAAAUUAACUCUACCUGUCAGGGUUCUUGGUUGAAAGCAACCGAACAAGCUCUGGCUGAUAUAGGCAGAAAAGGAAUCAUUAGGGGAUCCUGAGUGGCUCACUACACGGGUCACAGAGUUGCAGGACAUUUGGGAAACCAGGCUCAUGAAAGAAGCAAAACCAGAACCAUAUCAGAGGAACAUCUGAUCAAGCACCACUCCCCACUGACACUGGACCUUGGAGAAAGUCACCCUAGUACCCUGGAAAUCAAAUGCUGACACAGUGGCAGCCACCACUAGAACGAGGUCUCCACUUCCCCUCUCAAGGGAAUUCCCUUCUCCUCACCUCUGGAGCAAUCUGGAGGCUAAACAGAAAGGAUACCUACACAUUAGAGAGAGUCUUGGAAAUCUCAUAAUCCCAGUUCAAAAGGCACCACCCAGGUGAGACAGGAAGUGUGAACAGGGAGAACAUUUUUUUGCCCUUGAAGUUGGGGAACUAGAGAGUAAAUGGAACUUGUGUUUUGCUUUCCAUAUGGAAUUACUGGCAGCAACAGCUUAAUGAGCAUCGCCCCUGCCCCAAGACGGGAUCCAGAGGACUCUGUGAAGGUGGCAGGUUCAAGCAUGUAAGGACUCUGAAAGUCCCCGAGACCUCUCCAACAGCCCCAGAGAAGAUCUAGAAAUUCCAACUCGUUAUGAGCUGACAGAAAGGCUGAUGUGCUGCGGAAGGGGUUGGUACCGGGACCUUGGAUCAGAGGCUUUGCAGGGUUGGGUCCAUGAGGGGUCCAAAGAGAAACAGUUAUGUCUCAACGAGGAUGCAGUGCAUGAGUGGGGCUUGGUAAAAACUCCAUGUAGUGAAUAAAGGGCUUCACUAAUAAAUUCUCUUAUUAAUCCCAAA
rnacentral:lncRNA from 1 species